AUUGAACGCUGGCGGCAGGCCUAACACAUGCAAGUCGAACGGUAACAGGAAGAAGCUUGCUUCUUUGCUGACGAGUGGCGGACGGGUGAGUAAUGUCUGGGAAACUGCCUGAUGGAGGGGGAUAACUACUGGAAACGGUAGCUAAUACCGCAUAACGUCGCAAGACCAAAGAGGGGGACCUUCGGGCCUCUUGCCAUCGGAUGUGCCCAGAUGGGAUUAGCUAGUAGGUGGGGUAACGGCUCACCUAGGCGACGAUCCCUAGCUGGUCUGAGAGGAUGACCAGCCACACUGGAACUGAGACACGGUCCAGGCUCCUACGGGAGGCAGCAGUGGGGAAUAUUGCACAAAGGGCGCAAGCCUGAUGCAGCCAUGCCGCGUGUAUGAAGAAGGCCUUCGGGUUGUAAAGUACUUUCAGCGGGGAGGAAGGGAGUAAAGUUAAUACCUUUACUCAUUGACGUUACCCGCAGAAGAAGCACCGGCUAACUCCGUG
rnacentral:rRNA from 1 species